rnacentral:rRNA from 1 species
AUAGAGAUAUAUCUUACCGAUACGGAGCGAACGAGGGGAAUUGAAACAUCUUAGUACCCUCAGGAAAAGAAAUCAAAAGAGAUUGCGUCAGUAGCGGCGAGCGAAAGUGCAAGAGGGCAAACCCAGUGCUUGCACUGGGGGUUGUAGGACUGCAAUGUGCAAGGGCGAAGGUUAGCAGAACACUCUGGAAAGUGUAGCCAUAGAGGGUGAUAGUCCCGUAUGCGAAAGCCUAAGCCUAGCUAGCAGUAUCCUGAGUAGGGCGGGACACGCGAAAUCCUGUCUGAAGCUGGGUAGACCACUAUCCAACCCUAAAUACUACUACCAGAUCGAUAGCGAACAAGUACCGUGAGGGAAAGGUGAAAAGAACGGCGGUGAGCCGAGUGAAAUAGAACCUGAAACCAUUUGCUUACAAUCAUUCAGAGCUCCAUACUGCAUUCCUUAGAGAAUUUAGGCGCGGUAUUUGUGGGAAUUUGUGCUUUACAAGCAAGACUAUGUCGCAGUGCAGCAAAGCGAAGAAUCCGCAAAAUUUACCCAAAAGACAAGAGAAUUUUCUAAGGAGUGUAGUGGAGUGAUGGACUGCCUUUUGCAUAAUGAGCCUGCGAGUUGUGGUGUCUGGCAAGGUUAAGCACACGCGAAGCCGUAGCGAAAGCGAGUCUUAAUAGGGCGUAGCCAUCUCUUUUAUGCAUAUAUUGAAAUUUAGGAGGAUAUGAUGGGAAGUGAAAAAAGCACUCAAGGUAUAAAAAUCCUUAUUUUUAACAAAAAACCUAAGAAAGAUGAAGAAAAAAAAGUUAGUGGCAUUGAACAACAAAAUGAUAAUGAAGGUAUUGUUGAUGCUUGGUUAAAGGAAAAACGUAGCAACUGGAUAAGCAAAAGUAUUACAAAAGUUAUACCUGAAUUGAAGGCAUUCUUACUUGAAAAAGGUGUAACUAUCAGUAGCGAUAAGCAAAAUACUGAUUAUCAGUAUGAAAUUGUUGUAGAAAUACCUAAAAAUAAACCAUAGAAUAAAUCCUAAAUAUCCCUAAUUGUAUGUAUAAAUGAGGUGGCUUUAGUCAGAUGCUGCAGACCCGAAACGAAGUGAUCUAUCCAUGAGCAGCUUGAAGCUAGUGUAAGAACUAGUGGAGGAGCGAACCCGCUAGCGUUGAAAAGCUAUGGGAUGACUUGUGGAUAGGGGUGAAAGGCCAAUCAAACUUCGUGAUAGCUGGUUCUCUCCGAAAUAUAUUUAGGUAUAGCGUUGUGUCGUAACAUAAGGGGGUAGAGCACUGAAUGGGCUAGGGCAUACACCAAUGUACCAAACCCUAUCAAACUCCGAAUACCUUAUGUGUAAUCACAGCAGUCAGGCGGCGAGUGAUAAAAUCCGUCGUCAAGAGGGAAACAACCCAGACUACCCGCUAAGGUCCCCAAAUCUUACUUAAGUGGAAAACGAUGUGAAGUUACUUAAACAACCAGGAGGUUGGCUUAGAAGCAGCCAUCCUUUAAAGAAAGCGUAAUAGCUCACUGGUCUAGUGAUUUUGCGCGGAAAAUAUAACGGGGCUAAAGUAAGUACCGAAGCGGUAGGCUUGUGCUUAAUCAAAUUCUUUAAGACAAGGGCAAAAACCCUAAGGAAUUUAAGAAAGUUAGGAAGUUAAGAAGUUAAAUAUAAAUUUUUGCUUUAAAUUUUAAGUUUUAACUUUUAAAUUUGAAUUGCAAAAAAACUUAACUUUGAAACUUAAAUUUGAAAGAAAAAUAAUUUAAAUUUGAAAUUUCAAAAAAAUAACUUUCAAAAAUAAAUUUAAAUCCUUAAAUUCAAAGUUUCUUUCAAAAAAGUCAAGAAAUGAAGAAGUCAAAAAAAGAAAAAAUUCAAAAAGAAUUUGCUUAAGCGCAAGCGGUAGGAGAGCGUUCUAUUUGCGCCGAAGGUAUACCGGUAAGGAGUGCUGGAGCGGAUAGAAGUGAGCAUGCAGGCAUGAGUAGCGAUAAUUAAUGUGAGAAUCAUUAACGCCGUA